rnacentral:rRNA from 1 species
UGGGGAAUUUUGGACAAUGGGCGAAAGCCUGAUCCAGCAAUGCCGCGUGUGUGAAGAAGGCCUUCGGGUUGUAAAGCACUUUUGUCCGGAAAGAAAUCCUUGGCUCUAAUACAGUCGGGGGAUGACGGUACCGGAAGAAUAAGCACCGGCUAACUACGUGCCAGCAGCCGCGGUAAUACGUAGGGUGCAAGCGUUAAUCGGAAUUACUGGGCGUAAAGCGUGCGCAGGCGGUUUGCUAAGACCGAUGUGAAAUCCCCGGGCUCAACCUGGGAACUGCAUUGGUGACUGGCAGGCUAGAGUAUGGCAGAGGGGGGUAGAAUUCCACGUGUAGCAGUGAAAUGCGUAGAGAUGUGGAGGAAUACCGAUGGCGAAGGCAGCCCCCUGGGCCAAUACUGACGCUCAUGCACGAAAGCGUGGGGAGCAAACAGGAUUAGAUACCCUGGUAGUCCACGCCCUAAACGAUGUCAACUAGUUGUUGGGGAUUCAUUUCCUUAGUAACGUAGCUAACGCGUGAAGUUGACCGCCUGGGGAGUACGGUCGCAAGAUUAAAACUUAAAUGAAUUGACGGGGUCAUACUGUUUCCU